rnacentral:tRNA from 1 species
GCGGGGGUGCCCGAGCUUGGCCAAAGGGGGCGGACUUAAGAUCCGCUGGCGUAGGCCUGCGUGGGUUCAAAUCCCACCCCCCGCACCU